rnacentral:tRNA from 1 species
AACGAAGCGCCUGACGAAAGGAUUAUCUUGAUGAGAUAAAUUAUGUAAAAAUUUACCUUCGUUA